rnacentral:rRNA from 1 species
ACGAACGCUGGCGGCGUGCCUAAUACAUGCAAGUUGAGCGAUGAAGAUUGGUGCUUGCACCAAUUUGAAGAGCAGCGAACGGGUGAGUAACGCGUGGGGAAUCUGCCUUUGAGCGGGGGGCAACAUUUGGAAACGAAUGCUAAUACCGCAUAACAACUUUAAACAUAAGUUUUAAGUUUGAAAGAUGCAAUUGCAUCACUCAAAGAUGAUCCCGCGUUGUAUUAGCUAGUUGGUGAGGUAAAGGCUCACCAAGGCGAUGAUACAUAGCCGACCUGAGAGGGUGAUCGGCCACAUUGGGACUGAGACACGGCCCAAACUCCUACGGGAGGCAGCAGUAGGGAAUCUUCGGCAAUGGACGAAAGUCUGACCGAGCAACGCCGCGUGAGUGAAGAAGGUUUUCGGAUCGUAAAACUCUGUUGGUAGAGAAGAACGUUGGUGAGAGUGGAAAGCUCAUCAAGUGACGGUAACUACCCAGAAAGGGACGGCUAACUACGUG